rnacentral:rRNA from 1 species
CGCAGCCGCGGUAAUUCCAGCUCCAAUAGCGUAUAUUAAAGUUGUUGCAGUUAAAAAGCUCGUAGUUGAAUUUCGGGACCAAUCUGCCGGUCGUGCCUCCGGUAUGCACUGGUUUUAUUGGUUUCUCCCUUCUGACGAAUCAUGAUGUCAUUAAUUUGGUGUCAUGGGGAAUCAGGACUGUUACUUUGAAAAAAUUAGAGUGCUUAAAGCAGGCUCACGCUUGAAUACAUUAGCAUGGAAUAAUGAAAUAGGACGUUUGACCCUAUUUUGUUGGUUUCUAGGAUCGACGUAAUGAUUAAUAGGGAUAGUUGGGGGCAUUAGUAUUCAAUUGUCAGAGGUGAAAUUCUUGGAUUUAUUGAAGACUAACUACUGCGAAAGCAUUUGCCAAGGAUGUUUUCAUUAAUCAAGAACGAAAGUUAGGGGAUCGAAGACGAUCAGAUACCGUCGUAGUCUUAACCAUAAACUAUGCCGACUAGGGAUCGGAUGAUGUUAUUUUUUAAUGACUCAUUCGGCACCUUAC